AAAAGACCUUGCAGCAAGACAUUAAUAUCCAUCUCUUGAUCUUCAGACUAGACUUUGGAUCACUAAGAAAAGCCUGGGGACAAUGAGGUCACUCCCAAAGAACGUCUGAAGGGGGUGUGACAGAGGUGGUGUCAGGUCUUAAAGGAUCUCUGAGAUUAAAUUGAGAGAGACCCAAAAUUGCUCCCUUGCUUGGAAUGGGGAAAGUAUAAGUGUCUCAGAACCCUAAUCCCAGCUCAAUAUCCACUUGGAGAACCUACUCUUCUUGGGUAAUAGAUAUAGUAUCAGCCAAUUAGUCCCUUAAGCUUCACUUCUCCAGACUCAAGUUUAUUCAAGGUCAAAUUCAGGUUCUUGCUUCCCUUCAGAGUACAGAUUCCAGGCCUGGCUGAUUUCACAUUUUAUUUCGUUACAGAAGGCGUCUUGUAUCCACUAAUUUCCACAAUGAGACUCUGUCUAACAAUCAUUGCACUAAUACAAAAGCUUCCGGUACUAAUGGAAGCAUGGACGACCUGAGAUGUGCAUGGAGAUGUUGCAAGUUGUUCCUCCUUUUAAAGGUCCUGGAGGGAGGGCUGCCCAGAUCUCCGCUCUGACCUGACGCUGAGAGCUCUUUGUUUCCUGCCACAGAAAAAGACGGCAAAGUAUCAGAAAGAAGGACAGGGGCCUCUCUCUAGUGUCUUCUACCACUGGGCUCCUGUGUGAUUUCCCUUCCACUCAGCUCAGCAGGGAAAAACAAGCUUGCAUUUAAUUAAAAUAAGGGGACAUUACAGCAUAAGGAAGCUGGAGCUACACAGCUGGGGUUAGGGACAUAAAUAUGACAAUAAAGCCACUGUAGAGCGGGCACUAGGUCACUGACCACAUAGAAUGACCUCAGCACAGGCGCUGCUUCUGAAUUUGUUGUUUGCAUCUAGACUAGGACGCAAACUCAGCCAAGAAUUUGUCACUUCCAGUUCUGGUUCUGCCAUAUUAAUGAUCCUUUGGGACCAUGGUGGACUUUGCUAAACUGUCUGCAUUAGAGGAGGG
rnacentral:lncRNA from 1 species